rnacentral:rRNA from 2 species
UAGGGAAUCUUCCGCAAUGGGCGAAAGCCUGACGGAGCAACGCCGCGUGAGUGAUGAAGGUCUUCGGAUCGUAAAACUCUGUUAUUAGGGAAGAAUAAAUGUGUAAGUAACUAUGCACGUCUUGACGGUACCUAAUCAGAAAGCCACGGCUAACUACGUGCCAGCAGCCGCGGUAAUACGUAGGUGGCAAGCGUUAUCCGGAAUUAUUGGGCGUAAAGCGCGCGUAGGCGGUUUUUUAAGUCUGAUGUGAAAGCCCACGGCUCAACCGUGGAGGGUCAUUGGAAACUGGAAAACUUGAGUGCAGAAGAGGAAAGUGGAAUUCCAUGUGUAGCGGUGAAAUGCGCAGAGAUAUGGAGGAACACCAGUGGCGAAGGCGACUUUCUGGUCUGUAACUGACGCUGAUGUGCGAAAGCGUGGGGAUCAAACAGG